UACGGGGGGGGCAAGCGUUGUUCGGAAUUACUGGGCGUAAAGGGCUCGUAGGCGGCCAACUAAGUCAGACGUGAAAUCCCUCGGCUUAACCGGGGAACGGCCUCUGAUACUGGCUGGCUGGAGUUCGGGAGAGGGAUGCGGAAUUCCAGGUGUAGCGGUGAAAUGCGUAGAUAUCUGGAGGAACGCCGGUGGCGAAGGCGGCAUCCUGGACCGACACUGACGCUGAGGAGCGAAAGCCAGGGGAGCAAACGGG
rnacentral:rRNA from 1 species